UAACGAGAAAAACAGUAUAAUAUGUGUGGGUACAGUAAAUGAGUAAGAGGAAAAUUACAGCCUAAACACAAACACCGCAGAAAUGUAAAAACAGCCCUGGUCCUUGACAGGUGCAUAGUCACCAUAUGGACAAGCGGAAUCAGGACAAAAACCCCAGGUACCUAACCCAAUAAAACACGGACACUAGGAUAUAUGGGUCAAAAUUGUCUACAGCUUUUAUUAAAUAGUAAAAAAAAUGUACAUAAAAAAGGUAAUUGCCCCACACCCUGCCAUCACAUCCGUAUCCUUCAGUUAGAUAUAAACCCUACCAGAUUCUGAGCCACCGACAGGGCUCGAAACCUACCAAACUUACAAAGAACCAUCUUCACCAUUUCCAUAACCAUCCUAAUGGGGAGCCUGUUUCCUAUUCCUCAGCUCUCUAUCCCACUGUUGUGAAAGAAUGGGACAACCCAACCUUAUAAUAACCCAGGGAGGGAGGGAGUGACAAACUCAGUCAGGCAGGCAAGUUAAAAAGCAAGCCCCGGGCAGGGGUGGCGGGGCAGGUCACCUGGAGGAGAUGGCAAGAGCCGUAGUCCCAGGGGAAGAGGUAUGAUGAUUCUCGGCGUGAGGCCUUGGUGUCAGG